rnacentral:rRNA from 1 species
UACGGAGGGUGCAAGCGUUAUCCGGAUUCACUGGGGUUAAAGGGUGCGUAGGUGGGCAAGUAAGUCAGUGGUGAAAUCUCCGGGCUUAACCCGGAAACUGCCAUUGAUACUAUUUGUCUUGAAUACUGUGGAGGUCAGCGGAAUAUGUCAUGUAGCGGUGAAAUGCUUAGAUAUGACAUAGAACACCAAUUGCGAAGGCAGCUGGCUACACAAAUAUUGACACUGAGGCACGAAAGCGUGGGGAUCAAACAGG